AAACCCAGACAUCAACAAAGAUAUAUCUUUAAAUUUGCAAUUUAACGUGAACUUCACUACAAGGUC
rnacentral:tRNA from 1 species